CCCUUAGAGUUUGAUCCUGGCUCAGAGCGAACGCUGGCGGCAGGCCUAACACAUGCAAGUCGAACGAACCCUUCGGGGUUAGUGGCGGACGGGUGAGUAACACGUGGGAACGUGCCCUUUGGUUCGGAACAACUCAGGGAAACUUGAGCUAAUACCGGAUGUGCCCUUCGGGGGAAAGAUUUAUCGCCAUUGGAGCGGCCCGCGUCUGAUUAGCUAGUUGGUGAGGUAAAGGCUCACCAAGGCUUCGAUCAGUAGCUGGUCUGAGAGGAUGAUCAGCCACACUGGGACUGAGACACGGCCCAGACUCCUACGGGAGGCAGCAGUGGGGAAUCUUGCGCAAUGGGCGAAAGCCUGACGCAGCCAUGCCGCGUGAAUGAUGAAGGUCUUAGGAUUGUAAAAUUCUUUCACCGGGGACGAUAAUGACGGUACCCGGAGAAGAAGCUCCGGCUAACUUCGUGCCAGCAGCCGCGGUAAUACGAAGGGGGCUAGCGUUGCUCGGAAUUACUGGGCGUAAAGGGAGCGUAGGCGGACAGUUAAGUCAGAGGUGAAAGCCCAGGGCUCAACCUUGGAAUUGCCUUUGAUACUGGCUGUCUUGAGUACGGGAGAGGUGUGUGGAACUCCGAGUGUAGAGGUGAAAUUCGUAGAUAUUCGGAAGAACACCAGUGGCGAAGGCGACACACUGGCCCGUUACUGACGCUGAGGCUCGAAAGCGUGGGGAGCAAACAGGAUUAGAUACCCUGGUAGUCCACGCUGUAAACGAUGAGUGCUAGUUGUCGCAUGCAUGCAUGUCGGUGACGCAGCUACGCAUAAGCACUCGCCUGGGGAGUACGUCGCAGAUAAAC
rnacentral:rRNA from 1 species